rnacentral:rRNA from 1 species
UACGUAGGGACCAAGCGUUGUUCGGAUUUACUGGGCGUAAAGGGCGCGUAGGCGGCGCGGUAAGUCACUUGUGAAAUCUCUGAGCUUAACUCAGAACGGCCAAGUGAUACUGCAGUGCUAGAGUGUGGAAGGGGCAAUCGGAAUUCUUGGUGUAGCGGUGAAAUGCGUAGAUAUCAAGAGGAACACCUGAGGUGAAGACGGGUUGCUGGGCCAACCCUGACGCUGAUGCGCGAAAGCCAGGGGAGCAAACGGG